UUUAUAGGAUUUGGGUAGGUAAAGGAAAAUUACAGUCAAAGGGGGGUUGUUCUCUGGCAGGCAGGAGUGGGGGUUGCAAGGUGCUCAGUGGGGGUGCUUUUUGAACCAGGAUGAGCCAGGAAAAGGACUUUCACAAGGUAAUGUCAUCACUUAAGGCAAGGACCAGCCAUUUACACUUCUUUUGUGGUGGAAUGUCAUCAGUUAAGGUGGGGCAGGGCAUUUUCACUUCUUUUGUGAUUCUUCAGUUACUUUAGGCCACCUGGGCGUAUUGAGGAAGAAAUUUGGGCUUGAUUGAAGUAAUGGGGGCUGUCUGUGAAGCUUUGCGGCAGUACAGCCUAGGUAGUUUGCUGAGCUUGAUGGUGUCAAGGUCAGUCCAAAUGAAAGCAAAGAGAGGCUGGGACGAGGGGUGCAGGGGAAUAGUGAAAAAAGCGUCUUUAAGAUCAAGCAGGGAAUAGUGAGUUGUGGAGGAAGGUAUUCAGGACAAAAGAGUGUACGGGUUGGGCACCACAGGGUGGAUAGGCAAAACAAUUUGAUUGAUAAUGUGCAGGUCCUGAACUAACUUGUAAGGCUUGUCUGGUUUUAGGACAGGUAAAAUGGGGGAAUUGUAAGGAGAGUUUAUAGGCUUUAAAAGACUAUGCUGUAGCAGGCGAGUGAUAACAGGCUUUAAUCUUUUUAAAGCAUGCUGCGGGAUGGGAUAUUGGCGUUGAGUGGGGUAAGGGUGAUUAGGUUUUAAUGAGAUGGUAAGGGGUGCAUGAUCAGUCCCCAAGGAGGGAGUAGAGGUAUCUUAUACUUGUGGGUUAAGGUGGGGGAAUACAAGAGGAGGACGCAAAGGAGGCUUUGGAUUGGGAAGAAGGGCGGCAAUGAGAUACAGCUGUAGUCCAGGAAUAGUCAGGGAAGCAGAUAAUUUAGUUAAAGUGUCUCAGCCUAAUCAGGGAACUGGGCAGGUGGGGAUAACUACAAAGGAGUGCUUAAAAGAGUAUUGUCUAAGUUGGCACCAGAGUUGGGGAGUUUUAAGAGGUUUAGAAGCUUGGCCAUCAAUACCCACAACAGUUAUGGAGGCAAGGGAAACAGGCCCUUGAAAAGAGGGUAAUGUGGAGUGGGUAGCCUCCGUAUUGAUUAAGAAGGGGACGGGCUUACCUUCCACUGUGAGAGUUACCUGAAGCUCGGCGUCAGUGACGUUCUAGGGGGCUUCCGAGGUGAUCCGGCAGUGUCAGUCUUCAGCCGCUAAGCCGAGAAGAUCUGGGAAGGAGUCAAUAAAAUGUAUUUUGAGAAUAAGACGGCCUUUUGACGUUUUAGGGUCUAGGGCUGUAAAGUGUCUCAGGGUUGUUGCCAAACAAGUCAUGAACUGGGCUGGGUUUUUAUAUUUGAUGAAAAAGAGCCUAAACCCUAUCUGAUUUGGGAUAAAGAAAAAGGAGCAUUAACCUUGACUAUGCCUUUAGCUCCAGCCACUUUUUUAAGAGUAAAUUGCUGGGCAGGAUGGGGAGGGCUAGUCACGUAACGAAACUGUAAGCAGGACCCAGUGUGAGGAGGGGAGGUGAUAAAAAGAUUAUAGCAUGGAGGAGCAGAGGCUGAGGAAGAAUUGGGACCUAGCUCAGCCUGGCAAGGAGCAGCCUGGGGAGGAAGGGAGAGGUCAGAUGGGUCUGCAGAAAAGGAAGAUUAGAAAGACUCAGCAAUGCUUGGGGUUGGUACUGAGGGGACAGGUGGGAGGGAAAGAAGGAAGAUUUGGGACGAGUUGCACUGGGCACAGAGACUAGGAAGUGACUAAUGUGUAAAAGAAUGCCUGGACGUCAGGCACCUCAGACCGUUUACCUAUUUUAUGACAAGAAUUAUUUAGAUCUUGCAGGAUGGAAAAAUUCAAAGUGCCAUUUUCUGGCUAUUUGGAACUACUGUCAAGUUUGUACUGGGGUCAAGCGGCAUUGCAGAAGAAAAUAAGGCAUUUAGGUUUUAGGUCAGAUGUGAGUUGAAGAGGUUUUAAGUUUUUGAGAACACAGGCCAAGGGAGUAGAAGGAGGAAUGGAGGGUGGAAAGUUGCCUAUAGUGAAGGAAGCAAGCCUAGAGAAAAGAGAGAGUAGAGAAAUGGAGGGAAGGGGUUUGGGGGUUCUUACCUUCCAGAAAAGUGGGAAAAGGGGUUGGGGCACAGAGAUAAGAGGUUGAGGCAUAGAAAUAAGGGAUGGGGCAUGGAAAUAAGGGGUCGGGGCAUGGAAAUAAGGGGUCGGGGCACGGAAAUAAGGGGUCGCGGCAUGGAAAUAAGGGAUUGGAGCACAGAGAUAUGAGGUUGGGGUACUUGCCCCCUCCUCUAGAAAAGUGGGACUUGCCACUAAGAGUGAAGGAGAAGGGGUUGAGGGGUACUUGCCCCUCCCCCAGAAAAGCGGGACUUGCCACUAAGGUUGAAGGAGAAGGGGUUGAGGGGUACUUGCCCCUCCCCCAGAAAAGCAGAGAAGGGGUAGAGACAAGGAGAGAAGGGGUUGGGGUACUUGCCCCUUUCCCAGAAAAGCGGGACUUGUCGCUAAGGGUGAAGGACCACGGCAGGCAUCCCUGCGUGGUCUGACACCUUUGAAAUGUGGAUGAAUAAUCAGAGAGGUGUCCUUGCAAUGAUUAAACACCAAGGGAAGUCUGCCUUCCUAGUCCGUGACCGGUGCUGGAGUUUUGGGUCCACGGAUAAAACGUGUCUCCUUUGUCUCUCCCAGAAAAUGAAGGGAAUUGAAAUUAAGAGAAGGGAGAGAUUGAAGAGUGGAAAGGAGAAAAUGGUUGAGGGACAGUGAGAGAGGUUGGAGAAGAGAGUAAGAAGAGGCCGCUUACCUGAUUUAAAAUUGGUGAGAUGUUCCUUGGGCUGGUCAGUCUGAGGACCUGAGGUCGUAGGUGGAUCUUUCUCAUGGAGCAAACAACAGGAGGACAGGGGAUUGAUCUCCCAAGGGAGGUCCCCCGAUCUGAGUCACGGCACCAAAUUUCAUGCACGUCCAUGUGAAGAGACCACCAAACAGGCUUUGUGUGAGCAAUAGGGGUUUGUUCUCUGGCGGGCAGGAGUGGGGGGUUGCAAGGUGCUCAGUGGGGGUGCUUUUUGAGCCAGGAUGAGCCAGGAAAAGGACUUUCACAAGGUAAUAUCAUCACUUAAGGCAAGGACCAGCCAUUUACACUUCUUUUGUGGUGGAAUGUCAUCAGGAGUUUUAAGAGGUUUAGAAGCCUGGCCGUCAAUACCCACAACAGUUAUGGAGGCAAGGGAAACAGCCCUUGAAAAGAAGGUAAUGUGGAGUGGGUAGCCUCUGUAUUGAUGAAGAAGGGGACGGGCUUACUUUCCACUGUGAGAGUUACCCGAAGCUCAGCAUCCGUGGUGGUCUAGGGGGCUUCCGAGGCGAUCCGGCAGUGUCAGUCUUCAGCCGCUAAGCCAAGAAGAUCUGCGAAGGAGUCAGUCAGAGAGGCUUGGGCCAGAGUUCCAGGGGCUCUGCGAGUGGCUGCCAGGUGAGUUGAACAGUCCGAUUUUCAGUGGGGUCCCACACAGAUGGGACACGGCUUAGGAGGAAUCCCGGGCUGUGGGCAUUCCUUGGCCCAGUGGCCAGAUUUCUGGCAUGUGUAGCAAGCUCCUAUGGGAGGAGGUUCUGGAGGAAUGCCUGGCUGCUGCGGUUCAGGCGUUUGGAAGUUCUUGUGUGCUGGAGAUGUGGCUGGGGUUUUUCUCACAGUGGAGGUUGGGCUCAGAGGCCUGACAAAACCUAUUAAGUAAUCUCUCAUUAUUCACUCUUUUUCUACCCCCUUAAAUCAGUAAACCUUUGAAUAAAGCAGAUUAACCUUCAUAAUGUGGGGGAACCUCAUGCAAUUAUCUGAUGAACUCAAGACAAAAGACUGAGGUCCCUUGAAGGGGAAAGGAUUCUGGCUUCUGACUAUGUCUGCACUGAAAAUUGCAGUAUUAACUACUGCUGGAAUUUCCAGCCUGCUGGCCAAUUCUGCAGAUUCCAGACUUGCCAGCUUCCAAAAUCAAGUCACCAAAAGACAAGGCCCUCCACAGGAUUGAGUGACAACAUCAUAAGCUUCAAAGGAAAUGCAAACAUUUGUUUGAAAAACCGGUAAAAUCCUAAGGUAACUAUAUUUUGUUAUAAAAUUCUCUCUAUGCCUCUUUGACACCACAAUUUCUGUACUGAAAUGUUUUCUUAGGUAGGUAGUCAGGCAUGAGCAGGGCAGGAGAGAUAAUCCUGUUCAUCCCCUUCCCUGUUACAUGCGUCCGUGUGAAGAGACCACCAAACAGGCUUUGUGUGAGCAAUAACGCUUUUUAAUCACCGGCGUGCAGGGGGACUGAGUCUGAAAAAGGAGUCAGCGAAGGAAGAUGGGAGAGGGGCAGUCUUAUAUGACUUGGGUAGACAGUGAAAAAUUACAGUUAAAGGUGGUUAUCUAUUGUUAACAGGGGAGGGUGUCACAAGGUGCUCGGUGGGGAACUCCUGAGACUCAUUGUCCAGGGGAGGAAUGUCACAAGGUCGAUUGAUUAGUUAGGGUGGGGAAGGAACAAAUCACAAUGGUGGAGUGUCAUCAGUUAAGGCAGGAACUGGCCAUUUCAAUUCUUUUGUGGUUUUUCAGUUGUUCCAGGCCAUCUGGAUGUAUACGUGCAAGUCACAGGGGUUAUGAUGGCUUAGCUUGGGCUCAGAGGCCUGACACCGACAAGACAUGUCAGGCAAUCCUCAGGUGAUAGGCAGUUGUUAAACUGUCUCUUUAAAAUAAUAAUUGGUCACAGCCAAUGCCAGGGAAAGGCACUCUCCCAAGAGAUAAACACCUGAAGCUGGUGAUCAGUGACUUCCUGAUAUGACCUCAGGAGUGGAGCGAGUGGUCUCACGCAUGCACACUAAGAGGCAAAAUGGUGGAGUUUUACUGGUAUAUGACCUGCCUCUAAGAAUACUCCACCGGUAAAGGAAAAACGCCUCAAGUGAGCAUGCAUAGAACUUCAGUAAACACACUGUGCACAUGGCCCCUCCAAAGUGCUGGCAGACCACUCAGCAUGCGGACAGCCUACCCCAAGGGAAGAAUCGGGCAAGAAGAGACACAGACACCAGAAGAAUGCCAACAUAUAAAAGCCCAAGUCAAAGGUCUAACUGCACACUCAAGUCACCCACUUGGUCCUCUUCCAAGUGUACUUUACCUCCUUUUGUUCCUGCUCUAAAACUUUUUAAUAAACUU
rnacentral:lncRNA from 10 species